GGUUGUAGUCGUCCUCAAAUCUCAAGGAUAGAUAGAGGUCAUGAAAUCCAUGGAGGAGGAUUUGUGGUCUAUGGGGACAUAUACACCCUAUAUGGAAAAAAUUAGUAAUUCAACAAAAAGUCAAAAAUUCCUGAAAAUAUUUUUGAAAUAAACUUGACCUUCUGCUGUACCCGUGAGAGAAAAUCCACAGAAAAAAUAUCCCUUUGACUUCUUUUCAAAAAAGACAAAAUUUUGGCUAAAAUAGUGUGAAUAGUGACCUAUAAUAGCAAAUAAUUUUUGUCUUUUUUGCUGUGAGGUCAACUUUUGUUUUUUUUUCGUGAAAAUGUAUAUAGUAGUGCAAAAGUAAGUCAAGUGUUUUGUCAAAAUAGUUCUGACCUAUUUUGACUUUUUUAAAAAAUAUUAAAAAAAAUCCCCAUAUAGGGUGCAUAUACAACCAGGAACCAUUGGGUAUUUCCCUGAAAUCCAUAGGGUUCUUCUUCCUUGGGAGGUCUUAAUCCUCUAAGAGAAGAUGGAUUAGUAAAGCUCUCUCACAAGUUUUAGUUAUGCUUUGCUAACCCUAGAAAAUGGAGGAGGUUAAAUCACCACAAAAUCUAAUCAUGUUCUCGGACAGUCACUGACAUGUUUAUGUUUAGCCAAGUCUGAAAGACCUAUGGUAUUACAAAACAUGCCUCAUGUGAAAACUCGGAUCGGAGUGAAGACCUUCUCCUUUAUGAACAUUUUUUGUUUCUUUUUUGAGGAAUAAAACAUGGACUCAGGUCAUGCAUCUUUCGAUUCAACCUCGGUAACUACACCAACCAGGUGGGAGAGGAGCAGACCAUCAUAUGUACUAGUAUGAUGUAAAUUUGCUUUACAUCAUGUGACUUGAAAGAGGCAGACCGCUUCACAAGCUCACAGCACAUAAUUCUGGAACCUCAAUGUUUGAGUAUGUGAUCCCGAGCAUACAGGCGCUCGAUAUCUGUCCCGCUCGUUCCAGCUUUGCGAUUCUGUCUAUUGAAUGCAUCUGGCACGUCACGGGUCCACCAGGGACAGAGAAAAUGUAGUAUACACAUCAAUACGGGCCUAUCUGGUGGGCCAUCUUUCGCACGGACGUUUGUGCUCUCGCCCGGCAGAGCCGUGGCUCGAGAUGUCGCCGGCGUCCUGAUCCGUGGAUCAGAAUUCAUGCUUUCCAGUUACGCCGGCAGCGGGUGCAGUUAAUGCGGGUGCCGACAGCUAUCUCCUACCUCCAGUCCUUGGAUCUUGGAUUCUUAAGAGCUGUGAAGCGGUCGAGAUAACUCCUGUGACAAAGCGAUCGAUUGCCCGAUCCGGCGAGUAUGGAGUUCUUGAUGCAGCAGAACUCUGCUAGAGGUCAACGAGAACAACAUCCCCACGAGUCCUCUUCAGUACCCUGUGAGGAUGCCUCCGGCCGUUGCGUUGCCGACGCACAGAUUUGUGCUGCUGAGGCUGCUCCAGUGGCAGGCAGUGGAGACAAGCGUCAGGGUUCAGAGAACUCCAUAGAGCAUGUUGACCCGAAAACUCCUGGCUGGAUAAAAGGUACUCACAGUUGGAUUGAACCAACUUAUGUUUUGGUUAGAUGUGCCAAAACAGGCUCGGAAGCCAGGAAGAUGUAAAAAUUGUGACGUUGAAGAGGGCAUCGUUGCCACAAAUCGGCUGAGCUUAGACUGAAGAGUUGAUCUGAUUAAUUACUUGUUAUGUUGAGCUGCACCACAUGAAAAAAUUGAAGCUGUGUUGUACCUGAAUACUUAUAAGUUGUGUUCUUUCAGAAUAAACUUAGCUUGUCUGUAAAA